rnacentral:rRNA from 1 species
AGUGAACGCUGGCGGUAGGCCUAACACAUGCAAGUCGAACGGCAGCACAGUAAGAGCUUGCUCUUACGGGUGGCGAGUGGCGGACGGGUGAGGAAUACAUCGGAAUCUACUUUUUCGUGGGGGAUAACGUAGGGAAACUUACGCUAAUACCGCAUACGACCUACGGGUGAAAGCAGGGGAUCUUCGGACCUUGCGCGAUUGAAUGAGCCGAUGUCGGAUUAGCUAGUUGGCGGGGUAAAGGCCCACCAAGGCGACGAUCCGUAGCUGGCCUGAGAGGAUGAUCAGCCACACUGGAACUGAGACACGGUCCAGACUCCUACGGGAGGCAGCAGGGGGGAAUAUUGGACAAUGGGCGCAAGCCUGAUCCAGCCAUACCGCGUGGGUGAAGAAGGCCUUCGGGUUGUAAAGCCCUUUUGUUGGGAAAGAAAAGCAGCAGGUUAAUACCCCGCUGUUCUGACGGUACCCAAAGAAUAAGCACCGGCUAACUUCGUG